rnacentral:piRNA from 1 species
UCAAUCCAUGGUUACCUUCCAUACUCCUGU